UACGUAGGCAGCAAGCGUUGUUCGGAAUUACUGGGCGUAAGGAGUGUGUAGGCGGUGCUCUAAGUUCGGUGUGAAAUCUCCCGGCUUAACUGGGAGGGUGCGCCGGAAACUGGAGUGCUCGAGCGCGGGAGAGGAAAGCGGAAUUCCUGGUGUAGCGGUGAAAUGCGUAGAUAUCAGGAGGAACACCUGUGGUGUAGACGGCUUUCUGGACCGUAGCUGACGCUGAGACACGAAAGUGUGGGUAGCAAACAGG
rnacentral:rRNA from 1 species